rnacentral:rRNA from 1 species
GCGABUUGUAAAUUGCAGGUUGGAGUCUCGGGUUAGACGUGUGUGCAAGUCCCUUGGAACAGGGUGCCACUGAGGGUGAGAGCCCCGUAUCGUGCAUGUCGACACCUGUGAGGCCCUUCUGACGAGUCGAGUUGUUUGGGAAUGCAGCUCUAAGUGGGUGGUAAAUUCCAUCUAAGGCUAAAUAUUGGCGAGAGACCGAUAGCGAACAAGUACUGUGAAGGAAAGAUGAAAAGCACUUUGAAAAGAGAGUGAAACAGCACGUGAAAUUGUUGAAAGGGAAGGGUAUUGGGCUCGACAUGGGAUUUACGCAUCGUUGCCUCUCGUGGGCGGCGCUCUGGGUUUUUCCUGGGCCAGCAUCGGUUUUCGUUGCAGGAUAAGGACAAUUGGAAUGUGGCUCCUCGGAGUGUUAUAGCCUUUUGUAGAUGCUGCGUAUGGGGACCGAGGGCUGCGGCGGACUYGUUUCGUCUCGGAUGCUGGCACAACGGCGCAAUACCGCCCGUC